AUAUAAAGAAAAGACGAACAGCUCAGUAACUCUUAUUUUAUUUGAUGUAUUAGGAUUAUAACUAUGUUAAAUUAUAGAUAACAAUAAUACAAUAAGAAUAAGAUCUAUCAGUUAGUUGUUAAGGUAAUGGCUUAACAAGACUAUGACGGAUAACGGUAUUACUUUGUAAUAUUCCGGAGAAGGAGCCUGAGAGAUUGCUACUAAGUCUAAGGAUUGCAGCAGGGGCGAAACUUGACCUAUGAUAUGAUAUUGAGGCAGUUAUGAGUAGUAUUUUUAAUUAUUGUAGUAUUGUAAGUAUAUACUACAAGAUAAAUCGGAGGGCAAAUCGAGUGCCAGC
rnacentral:rRNA from 1 species